AAAAUGAUUUUCACGAAUCGGAAGGUUAACACUAGUAUUAGUCAGACGGACUGUUUUGCGACGUUUUGUCAAUGGAAUGCCAAAGCUUGUGGCAUUAGAACUAGCAAGGUUAGCAGCGGAAGGCAGUAGCCCUGCCACGCCCCCUACCGAGACUUCUGCAAGACUGACCUAUGCUAAUCGAAUUUGAAAUACGUUACAAAAUCAAGGUGUAGGCGGUGCAAAAAAAAAUAAAUAAAAAAACAUUUGAGUUUUGUUAUUUAGCUUGGCUUGGCUUGACUCUCGGCUGGUUUUGGAGCGCGUGCCAAGAAAACUGAAACAAGACCAACAUAAUAACCCAGCCAUAAUGAGUGAAGUGUUAACCAUUGUUAACGUGUUUUUGCUGCUGCUGCUGCUGCUGCUGCUCAAAGGUAACAAUUGCACUCAAAAGUACUACGACCCAAUUUGAACCGGUUUGUAUUUUCCAUUUUUGCUCAUUGUCUUUGGCUCAGUAUGUGCAUGUGUAUGUGUGUGUGUGUGUAGAUUAGUCAAGCGUUUGGCUGUUUGGUUAGCAACAAUGCUGUCAAACGUUUGCUGGCCGCAACAUUGUUGCCAAGCAUUUGUUGCCAAGCAAAUUAUGAAAUGCGCCGUCGCCACGCCCCUCACACACACACACACACACACACACACGCCAAAUUAUUAAUAAUCAACUAAUUUGAGGCGCGACAGACAUGGCAAUUCGAGCUAAAACUUUAAUAUACGAGCACACACAUACUUUCUCCACACAAAAAAAAAAAGCACAGCCCAGAGCGCAGCUUCCAUUUUAUGUGCAAAUUAAAACCAAGUUUAAAAAUUGUAAAAAAAAAAUAGCUUUGGUUGGCUCACACAG